rnacentral:SRP_RNA from 2 species
GCCGGGUGCGGUGGCUCACACCUGUAAUCCCAGCACUUUGGGAGGCUGAGGCGGGUGGAUCACCUGAGGUCAGGAGUUCAAGACCAGCCUGGCCAACAUGGUGAAACCCCGUCUCUA